GAUUUUGGCAACGCCAUUUUCUGUUCGCUAUUAUCUAAUCACUUAAACUUGUUCGCGAAAGAGGGUUUGGGGCGGCGGCCUGAAGAAGGUGUUUUCACGUUUCCAUUGAAACAUGUGCGGCAGCCUGAAGAAGGUGAUUUGUUCAUAAUUUUCGGCGUUUAUUACACUGCGAAUUGUUCGAGAAAGGGUAAACAGGGGUUGUGGCCUGAAGAAGGUAAUUUUUUGGGCGAGUUAUACUGGUUGGUUCAUUCUAGAUUUGUUCGGAAUUAUUCGGCUUUUGAUACAUUGCGAACUUGUUUCUGAUUUUUCUAAAUUAUUCGGGAUAAUUAUGUUAUUGAUUUCGACCUAUGUGUGUAUUUAUGUACUUUUCAUUGUUUUGUUGGAUUUCUUAGGACUUUUUCAGUGCUUGUUCGUAAACACUAUUUAUUUAAUUUGUUAUGUUCUUUUUUGUUUUUGGGUGUAUUUGCAGCGUAAUUUUUUGACGAACCCAAAUAGCAGGUUAAAGAUUUACUUCCUUUUGCUAUUUUUUCAAUAAACUUAAAUUUGUAUUGUUGCGAACAUAUGAAUUUUUAUUGAUGAUUGUAGUUUUGUUUGUGUAUAUGGUCGAAGAACAGAUUUACCGGAGAGAUUGGGA
rnacentral:lncRNA from 1 species